GAUUUCUGGCUUGAAACAUUUUGCCAGCCACGGUUUCGUGUGUUAGUGCUUGAUGUUCUGGCCAUCCUUUCAAUCGCUAUUGGCAUUCUUCACUGAUUGUCAGUAGUAUUGAAUCUUUUACUUUGAAAAAAUUAGAGUGUUUCAAGCAGGCUUUAUGCUAUGAAUACAUUAGCAUGGAAUAAUAAUUUAGGACUUCGGUUCUAUUUUGUUGGUUUCUAGGACUGAAGUAAUGAUUGAUAGGGAUAGUUGGGGGUGCUAGUAUUCAGCGGCCAGAGGUGAAAUUCUCGGAUUCGCUGAAGACUAACUUAUGCGAAAGCAUU
rnacentral:rRNA from 1 species